UUUUCUGUGUUGGUGUUGUGUACUCAGGUGAAUAUGAUGUUUGUGAUGUUAGUCAGAGUACAUCAUAUUCACCUGAGUACACAACACCAACACAGAAAA